CAGAAACAAAAAAACCAACCUGCAUCCCCACAAAACAGUGGUUUCCUAUUACCCUUUACCCCAGGUUACCACCAGUUCACCUCCUAGCUCCUUGGACACGCCCAUCUGGGGCCACUCCCUCUACUCCACUUAUGAUCUCUCUUCUCCCACGCGUUUAGGUUUCUUCCACGCUGUCCCGUGUAACCCGCUUCUAUGACCGGAUGAUGCUCCACCACUUGGCGGUCCUGUUUGGGAACCUGCUUGUGUCCCCAGAGGGAUCCUUUAGCUCUGUGUUCUUACUUAGAAUAAGGUCCUAGGGGCAGUUUCCUCCCUGAACUCUGCCUCCUGCCAUUAAAGAGGGCCCAGGUCCAUAAACUCAGCGGGGACACAGGAAGCUGGCUCGGGGAGGGACACAUUCCACUGCAGUGUCAGUGCCCCCACAGCGACUGCGCUGAUGCCUCCUGCCACUCACGCAGCCGCACUUCAGCACCGGAGGCUCCGGGAAUCCCAGCAACACUUGGACACGCUCAAAACCCCUAUUGUUGGAGACUAAAUGGCAUGACGCACAGCCGUCUCCACGGCCCCUGCCUCACUUCUGUAUCUGCGGUCAGUUCUGCGUCAAAAGAGAUCCAGCCUGCCACGCCUCUCCUCCCCCUCGACCUCCUAAAGUGGCCAGCGUUUCCUUCCUUCCAAGACUGGGUUUCUCAGUGUAACAGCCCUGGCUGUCCUGGAACUCCCUUUGUACACCAGGCUGGCCUCAAACUAAGAGACCCUCCUGCCUCUGCCUCUGCUGGGAUUAAAGCUACGCACCGUCACGGCCCAGCUCAUGAGACCCUCCUGCCUCUGCCUCUGCCUCUGCCAGGAUUAAAGCUACGCACCAUCACGGCUCAUGAACAGUCUCUUUCAGCUGGACCGCAGCACCCACUUCUGGAGGCUCUCCCCAAUUCCGACUAUGCCUCCCUGGGGAGCAGCCAGGGCCUCAGAAAGAGAAUGCGGCCAGCUUUUCCUCUGUCCCCGACCCCGGGGCUCCUGUUUCACAGCAGAAGCUACUGUCCCUAACUCCUGCCUUGCCACAGCCUCACUGGCCUCUCUGCUGCUUUCCACACUCACCUGGGAGACUUCCUGCCACAGGACCUUAGCACAUGCCAGGCCCCUGCUUUUCUAUGGGGCAUCCAUUUCUCCACCUCCUUUCCUGGUUUAUGUUCAAACGCAGCUUCCCUGUAAGGCGGCCUUUCCCAAAAUUGGAUUUGAGCCCCCGUCCCUGUGGUACUCCUGCUCUCCUCUACGUCUUUAUGCUCUCUCUCUCUUCCCUUCCCUUUCUUUCUUUUCUUCUUCUUCUCUCCCUCCCUCCCUUCUCUCUCUCACUGCUUUCUUCUCUCUCUCCCUCCCUUUCUUCUCUCUCUCUGUCCCUAUACCCUUCUUUCUGAUACAGGCUCUGUCUGUGUAGCCCAGGCUGGCUUCAAGUUGGUGAUCCUCCUGCCUCAGCCUCCUAACACUAGGACCACAGAUGUGUAUGACCAUAGCUAUUCUCUGUAUUUCUGAAUUAAUCUCAUUUAUUGUCUUCUCCUCAAAGACGUAUGUUUUUCCUGGCCUUGGCUCCCUGCUGCAUUCCCAAUGUUGGACACUGCAGGAGGGGCUGGGCACUUGCAGAGCUGAGCUGUGGAUGUUGGCUGGGCUCCUGGGCAGCACACUUGGGGCAUCAUGGGGCGGAGUCUUAGUAUACAGCAACAAUGUCAGCUGCCUCUCUGUUUAACCCACAGGCCUUGCUGUUCCCUCCCACAAUGACAUGACAGAAUGGGAGUGACCCUGUGAGUCCCCUUUGCUCUUUCCUUCCAGCUGUCCCCACAUAAAGGAACAGAUAGGAAGUUUGGGGAUAAAGGACCAAUCAGCAGUGCUGGUUCCUGGCCUGGUUUCCCAAAGCUCAAACCCACUGAGGAGGAGAGAGUUCUGAGGACCCCUGACCUCCCUACUCCAUGAGCACUGAGGUUCCUGUGAGGUGCUCACCCCGCUGGCCCAUGUAGGAGCUAAGCCCACCAGAGGGACAGUCUGGCAGGGGGUGAGGCAGGCCUGCCUCACCAUGAAGGUCUAGGACAGGAACAGGACACACCCCAGUGGCACCCUGAGCAGCUGAGGGCUGUAGCAAGCAAGCCCUCACCCAGGUCCUUGGGGCUGACACUCGGGGCACCUGAUCCAGUCUGGGGAAGGCUGGUGAAGACAAAGGAAAACAUGGGCUUGACUCUGAUGUUAAAUUGUACUAAGGUAAAAGAAAACUGAAGCGAGGGCCAAGAACUCUUUCUGCUCCAGACACUUUAAAUGUCUCCUCGUCAACACUCACGGUCCCAGAGGACACUUCCAGAUCUCACUGCCUGCCAGGCUCUGAUUUAGUCCCAGACUGCAGCUUGGACAGUGCUCCUGUCCAGCCCAAGGCGGAAGAAAACUGACCCCCCCAUAUUUAAUAAACAUUUCUCUGUACUUUGGA